GGAGGAGUGUCCGAGCGGCUGAAGGAGCUUGCUUCGAAAGCUAGUAUACGCCACAAGCGUAUCGUGGGUUCGAAUCCCACCUCCUCCG
rnacentral:tRNA from 4 species